rnacentral:lncRNA from 1 species
CAUAAAGACUCAUCUCUUACAACAAGUGAGGGAAAGCACUGUUUGCUUAGCAACGUCUCAUUUCUGGGUGAAGACUACCAUGAUCCCCACACCGAGAAGACAAAUACUCUUAGUUCAAGAUUUUCCGAAAGCAUCCCAGAGAUGUGGGUUCAAGUAACAGAUCAGUUAUCUGGGAGGUGCAGAAAGUCCCUGUAGAGGAGGAGAAAUGUGACUGGACUCUCCCUGACUUUGACCUCAACUACCAGUCUUGUCAAAGCCUGAUGUCACUUAUGCAAAAGACUUGGAAACUUGCUGAGGAUUUGCUCAGGAAAUCACUCCUGACAAUGAAGGAGGGCGACCCUAGAUCAUCAAAACAGAAGAAUCUAUUCAAAAUGAAGCUUUUGCUGCCUUCAGUCCCUAACAGAUGACCUACAUAUGGACACCUGAGAUCUGCUAUUUAGAAACUAAUCUGCAACUCAAAACACCUAUGAUUUAUUGAGCCUUUUAAUGUAGUAACCACUGUGCUAUGUACUUUACCUAUAGUCCCUCAUGUAAUUUUCCCAAGAACCUGGUAAGUACUAUAAUUAUCUCCAUUUUACAGAUGGAAAAACUGACUUUUACCCACCCAAGGUCAUACCUGAGUGACAGAUAAACAUAAACUUAGCACCAGGUUCACUGGGCUCCAAGCCCUUGGUCUUAUCCAUUGCGCCCUUCCUUGCUUUUUCCUUGUUCAGUUUUUCUUUCCUGAAGGCAACCAGAUAGGUGAUGAUCUGGAGCCAACAUACAGAAGAACAAGGAACCUGAUUGUAUUUUCACACAAAUGGCCAGACUUGGCUUCUAAUACAGGAUACACUUGGGGUUUGUGACCAGAAAAGGAAAGCUUUCUCUUGUUUGCUGAUUGGUGGCGUUCAAGAACUAUACCCUUUUUUCUAGAUGCA